UGGUUUGGAUCUUUCCAGGAGUUUACAUGUUUUUACUAAAUUUUCGAAUAAUCGCAAAAAGCAUUAGUGAGAGUGAUUUAUGGCCCUCGAGAAAGUGCAAACACGGAUCAGGACUGGGAGCAGCUGAAGACUUCACGAAAUUUGAAGGAGACGUUUUUCUAGAGGUCAACAUGUCCUGGUGCCUCUACUGACCUGCAAGGUUGCGUGAUCGUCAAGUUCUGAAACAUCCGUUCUGGUCGGACACAUGUGGCACUGCAGCUGCAAACGAUCGUCGGACUGGACUGGUCCAGACAAAGUCCUGAUACCGUCGUGUGUUCACCGAGCGCAAAUUUAUCACCGUUGCGACUUGGGAAAGUUCCGCUUCACAACGUUCUGGUACACCUGGCGGAAGCAAAGACAUAGAUCAGCCUGAUCCUGACAACAACAACGGAGUUUCGAUGAGAAAAAUGAUGUGGAAUGCAUCAGGUAUUCACAGGAAAUACCACGCCCACUAGAAGGAAUGUUGCAGAUCUCCGUCGACGGGGUCUUGUUUGAAUACGACGACUUCAAGAAGGCAGCAGAGCCAUAGUCGCAGUUUUCGUCAAAUGCUUUAAACGGGUCGAUCCGGCCGUGGCCAUUGCCGAGCGCAAAGUAAUAAAGAUCAAGUCGGACCGCAAGAAUCAACGUGUGGACCUGAUGUCAACCGAUGACAGUUGAAAUCUC